rnacentral:rRNA from 1 species
GAUGAACGCUGGCGGCGUGCCUAAUACAUGCAAGUCGAGCGAACAGACGAGGAGCUUGCUCCUCUGACGUUAGCGGCGGACGGGUGAGUAACACGUGGAUAACCUACCUAUAAGACUGGGAUAACUUCGGGAAACCGGAGCUAAUACCGGAUAACAUGUUGAACCGCAGGGUUCAACAGUGAAAGACGGUCUUGCUGGCACUUAUAGAUGGAUCCGCGCCGCAUUAGCUAGUUGGUAAGGUAACGGCUUACCAAGGCAACGAUGCGUAGCCGACCUGAGAGGGUGAUCGGCCACACUGGAGCUGAGACACGGUCCAGGCUCCUACGGGAGGCAGCAGUAGGGAAUCUUCCGCAGAGGGCGAGAGCCUGACGGAGCAACGCCGCGUGAGUGAUGAAGGUCUUCGGAUCGUAAAGCUCUGUUAUUAGUGAAGAACAAAUGUGUAAGUAACUAUGCACGUCUUGACGGUACCUAAUCAGAAAGCCACGGCUAACUACGUG